rnacentral:rRNA from 1 species
AACGAACGCUGGCGGCGUGCUUAACACAUGCAAGUCAAGGGGAGGUAGCCUUCGGGCUAUAGUACACUGGCACACGGGUGAGUAACACGUGAGCAACCUACCUAGAAGAUCGGGAUAACUUGGCGAAAGUUGAGCUAAUACCGGAUAUGAAAUGUAACGAUUGUUAUGUUUGAAAAGGCUGGGGUAACUUAGCGCUUUUAGAUGGGCUCGCGCCCCAUUAGCUAGUUGGUGAGGGUAACGGCCCACCAAGGCUACGAUGGGUAACCGGCCUGAGAGGGUGGCCGGUCACACUGGGACUGAGACACGGCCCAGACUCCUACGGGAGGCAGCAGUGGGGAAUAUUGGACAAUGGACCAAAAGUCUGAUCCAGCAAUUCUGUGUGCAUGAUGAAGGUCUUCGGAUCGUAAAGUGCUUUCAGUUGGGAAGAAGAAAGUGACGGUACCAACAGAAGAAGCGACGGCUAAAUACGUGCCAGCCGCCGCCGUAACAC